ensembl:lncRNA
GUGAAAUACCUGUUCAUGUCCUUUGCCUAUUUUUCCAUUAGGAUCCCUGUGUUUUUAUUAUUGAUUUGUAGGAGUUCUUAGUGUGGUGGGAUUUUAUAACUUUCAUAUGUAUGUUUCAGAUACAGCAUAUUCUCAAAAGUCAUUACUUGUAUAUUCCCUUUGGGGUUGUGUGUGUGUGUGUGUGUACAUGCAGUAAUUUGAAAUUUUUAUGCAGUCAAAUCUAUCAGUCUUUCCCCUCCUGACUUUUGAAUUUCUCUCACUUAGAAAGGGUAUCCACAUACCAAAUUUUAAAAUACACCCUAUACUCUUCUAAUACUAAAUCCCCUUAUAUCUGGGUCUCUUUCCUCUGUUUGGUUCCACUGAUCUGUUCUUCUAUUCCUGUACGUAUCAUAUGGUUUCAAUUACUAUAGCUUUCUGGGAAAGCAUGUACCCUCUUUUUCUUUUUUCUAAUUUUUCUAGGUUAGUGUUACGAGUUUGCCUCUCUGGGUAAAUUUUAGAAUCAUCUUGCCUAAUUCCCCAUGCAAAUUCACUAGAAAUUCAGUUGUGACUAUUCAAUCUGAAGACAGAAACAAUGCAUUCCAUAUAAGGGGACAACUGAAUGACGGUGGAUUUCUCAUCUGAAACCAUGGUGGCCAGAAAGAGAUGGCACAACAUUUUUCAAAUGCUGAAGAAAAAAACAAAACUGUAAACCCCUAAUUCUCUAUCUAGCAAAAAUGCUCUUCAGAAAUGAAGGGAAAAUAAAGACUUCCAGAUGAUGAAGACUUUCAGAUGAAGGAAAGCUAGGAAUUUGUCACCAGAAGGCCUAACUGUAAAAGAUUGGCUAAAGAGAUUCUACAAUUAUAAAGGAACUGGUAACAAAAGAAAAAACAACAGUGGAAAUAAGGGUAAACAUAAUGGACUGUCCUUCUCAUGAGUUUUCAAAAUCACAUUUGAUGGUUGAAACAAAAAAUUAUAAUACCAUCUGAUGUGGAACUUAAGACAGUUAUAUUAAUGCAUGGGGAGGGUAAAGGGACUUAAAUGGAGGUAAGGUUUCUGCACGUCAGUCAAAAUGGUAAAAUGUCAAUACCCGUAGACUGUGUUAAGUAGGGUGUGUAUAUUGUAAUACCUAGUGAAACCACACACACACACACACACACAAAUACAUAGAAACACACUCAAAAAUACUUCGAAUGAUUAAAAAUAGAAUUCUAAAAAAUGUUCAAGUAACCCACAGAAAAGCAAGAAAAUGGAAGAGGUAUGAGAAACAGGGAACAAAAAUUGUAAAAAGUCCCAACGUAUGUUCAUGUACAAAAACAGUACACACACCUAUUUAGAUGUGAUUAUACUAUGUAUUUUUUUGCUGUUUUUCCUUCUCUUUCACAAACGUACUAAAGAUUCUCACUGAUUACUCUUUCCUCUGCCUACAGCACUCUGUAGGGUCUCCACUCAAAUUACCUUCUCACAAAGUCCUUUCAGAACUACUCCAUCCAAUUGCAGCUUCUCUCACACUCAACUUAUUCUACAUCAUAUUGCCCUGUUUUGUUUUUAUCAUAGUAUUUAUCUUUACUAGAUACCUUCUUCUUUUAAAAAAUUUUUAAUGAUUAUUGUCUAUCUCCCCUCAUUAGAAUAUAAGCUCCUGAGAGCAGAAACCUAUUUGGACCUUUACCUCAUUGCCUAGAACUGUGGUACAUGAUAGGUAGCGCAUGGUAUGUAUAGGCUCAUAAAAUAUUUUUUGCAUAACAAUAUAUUCAGUAAGUAUCUUUGUAAAUGUGCAUUCUUGCAUUGUAUCAAUUUAUCAUAGGUUAGUCAAAUAGAUAAAAGACUUAAAUGUUAAAAAUAAAACUAUAGACAAGUAACAAGACAAUUUUAUAGUCUAUAACAUUAAAUUUAUGAGGUGAAAUCUAUGCUUUAUAGUUGAUCUCAAUAUAUGAAGAAUCUUUUUCAUCCAUGAUAUUAAAAGUAUUCAUAUAAUUGUAUAUGAUGCUUUUAUUGUUUCUUAUAUUGCAAUUAUAAAAUUAUCCCUUUUGGAAUUUCUAUUUUUUAGUGUGAUGCAGGGAUGCAGUGUUAUUGUUUUGUCCAAAAUGUUUGGUUGUAGGUCCCCAAAACAUGUAUUGAAUAAAACAUACUGCUCUUAAUUUUU